GCGUGUGUGAAGAAGGCCUUCGGGUUGUAAAGCACUUUCAGUAGGGAAGAAAAGCAGAGCGCUAAUACCGUUCUGUCAUGACAUUACCUACAGAAGAAGCACCGGCUAACUCCGUGCCAGCAGCCGCGGUAAUACGGAGGGUGCGAGCGUUAAUCGGAAUUACUGGGCGUAAAGGGCGCGUAGGCGGUUUGCUAAGUCGGAUGUGAAAGCCCCGGGCUUAACCUGGGAAUUGCAUUCGAUACUGGCAGGCUAGAGUGCGGUAGAGGGAAGCGGAAUUUCCGGUGUAGCGGUGAAAUGCGU
rnacentral:rRNA from 1 species